UACUCGAGUGGCGAACGGGUGAGUAACACGUGGGUGAUCUGCCCUGCACUUCGGGAUAAGCUUGGGAAACUGGGUCUAAUACCGGAUAGGAGCCAUCUUUAGUGUGGUGGUUGGAAAGUUUUUUCGGUGUAGGAUGAGCUCGCGGCCUAUCAGCUUGUUGGUAGAGUAAAAGCCUACCAAGGCGACGAUGGGUAGCCGGCCUGAGAGGGUGAACGGCCACAUUGGAACUGAGAAACGGUCCAA
rnacentral:rRNA from 1 species